CUACGGGAGGCACCAGUGGGGAAUAUUGCACAAUGGAGGAAACUCUGAUGCAGCAACGCCGCGUGGAGGAUGACACAUUUCGGUGCGUAAACUCCUUUUAUAUGAGAAGAUAAUGACGGUAUCAUAUGAAUAAGCACCGGCUAACUCCGUGCCAGCAGCCGCGGUAAUACGGGGGGUGCAAGCGUUACUCGGAAUCACUGGGCGUAAAGAGCAUGUAGGCGGAUAGAAAAGUUGGAAGUGAAAUCCUGUGGCUUAACCAUAGAACUGCUUCCAAAACUCUCUAUCUAGAAUAUGGGAGAGGUAGAUGGAAUUUCUGGUGUAGGGGUAAAAUCCGUAGAGAUCAGAAGGAAUACCGAUUGCGAAGGCGAUCUACUGGAACAUUAUUGACGCUGAGAUGCGAAAGCGUGGGGAGCAAACAGGAUUAGAUACCCCAGUAGUC
rnacentral:rRNA from 1 species